rnacentral:rRNA from 1 species
GGGUUGUGAGGUUAAGCGACUAAGCGUACACGGUGGAUGCCCUGGCAGUCAGAGGCGAUGAAGGGCGUGCUAAUCUGCGAUAAGCGCCGGUAAGGUGAUAUGAACCGUUAUAACCGGCGAUACCCGAAUGGGGAAACCCAGUGUGAUUCGUCACACUAUCAUUAACUGAAUCCAUAGGUUAAUGAGGCGAACCGGGGGAACUGAAACAUCUAAGUACCCCGAGGAAAAGAAAUCAACCGAGAUUCCCCCAGUAGCGGCGAGCGAACGGGGAGGAGCCCAGAGCCUGAAUCAGCAUGUGUGUUAGUGGAAGCGUCUGGAAAGGCGCGCGAUACAGGGUGACAGCCCCGUACACAAAAGCGCAUGUGCUGUGAGCUCGAUGAGUAGGGCGGGACACGUGGUAUCCUGUCUGAAUAUGGGGGGACCAUCCUCCAAGGCUAAAUACUCCUGACUGACCGAUAGUGAACCAGUACCGUGAGGGAAAGGCGAAAAGAACCCCGGCGAGGGGAGUGAAAAAGAACCUGAAACCGUGUACGUACAAGCAGUGGGAGCACAGGUUUACCUGUGUGACUGCGUACCUUUUGUAUAAUGGGUCAGCGACUUAUAUUCUGUAGCAAGGUUAACCGAAUAGGGGAGCCGGAGGGAAACCG